rnacentral:rRNA from 1 species
AUUAAACGCUGGCGGCAUGCCUUACACAUGCAAGUCGAACGGCAGCACGGGGGCAACCUUGGUGGCGAGUGGCGAACGGGUGAGUAAAGCAUCGGAACGUGCCCUGGAGUGGGGGGAUAACGUAGCGAAAGUUACGCUAAUACCGCAUAUUCUGUGAGCAGGAAAGCAGGGGAUCGCAAGACCUUGCGCUCUGGGAGCGGCCGAUGUCGGAUUAGCUAGUUGGUGGGUAAAGGCCUACCAAGGCGACGAUCCGUAGCGGGUCUGAGAGGAUGAUCCGCCACACUGGGACUGAGACACGGCCCAGACUCCUACGGGAGGCAGCAGUGGGGAAUUUUGGACAAUGGGCGAAAGCCUGAUCCAGCCAUGCCGCGUGAGUGAAGAAGGCCU